CAAAGUAAGUCUGCCAGAGCUGUGCUGCCACCCUGGGCUGCCACUCCUGCGGCUGGAGGGCUGCAGCAGGGCCUGCCCUGUAGGACAGGGUGAUCUGGCUGCUGCCUCUUCUUCCUUCUCUGGUGUUGUGAGCCCCAGGUCUCUGUGGGAUGCCUCCUGGUUGAGGGGCUCCUCUCAAUGGAUGUGUUCAUCCCUCUGCUGGAUCUUCCCCGGGGGAGGCUGGAGCCACACAAAGUGCUUUACGUUUCCUGCAACAUCUCCUCACUGCUCUGCAGCAUCCAGGAGCAGAGUGCUGCAGGCAGUGGCAUCCAGGCACCAGAGGACACCAAGCUGAGUGGUGCUGCCAGCAGGCCAGAGGGACAGGCUGGCACCCAGAGGGACCUGGGCAGGCUGCAGUGGGCCCAGGUUACCAGAAGGAAGUUAUUUUUAGUGGAGAUCCUUGAACUCCAGAAACCCGUUCCAGAAGAGAUCAGCUUGAACCCAGGACUUAAUCCAGGUAUGGCACAGGGCUGGGGUGGCUCAGCUGCCAGCAGGAACAAGAAGUGAUCCUAGAGGUAUGUGCAGCAUCCACCAGUUCUAAUUGUGGCUUAGUGCAGAAUUCUCUCAUGUCUGUUUGUUUUUCAUUUCCUUUGCUAAGGAGGGUUAAAAAGGGGGGGAGCAAGUUGCUGAGCUGGCUGAUGUGGAACAGGACUUAGGCACUGAGUCACUCUGGAAUUGCCACUGCAGGGUGAGCUGUGACAUGAUCCAUCUGCUCUUUCUGGAGGGAAGCAGGAGGUGAAGCUCAUUUCGACCCAUGUGAAAAUGGAGACUGCUGCUUGGUUAAGGUUUGGCUUAAGGGAGGCUGUAGCCAGGUGGGGUUGGGCUCUGCUGCCAGGCCCCCAGGGACAGAACAAGGGGACACAGUCCCAAGCUGUGCCA